rnacentral:rRNA from 1 species
AUACAGAGGGUGCGAGCGUUAAUCGGAAUUACUGGGCGUAAAGCGCGCGUAGGCGGCUUAUUAAGUCAGAUGUGAAAUCCCCGGGCUCAACCUGGGAACUGCAUCUGAUACUGGUAAGCUAGAGUUUUGGAGAGGGAAGUAGAAUUUCAGGUGUAGCGGUGAAAUGCAUAGAGAUCUGAAGGAAUACCAGUGGCGAAGGCGACUUCCUGGCCAAAAACUGACGCUGAGGUGCGAAAGCGUGGGUAGCAAACGGGAUUAGAAACCCCGGUAAUCC